rnacentral:rRNA from 1 species
UACGGGGGGGCAAGCGUUGUUCGGAAUUACUGGGCGUAAAGGGCUCGUAGGCGGCCAACUAAGUCAGACGUGAAAUCCCCAGGCUCAACCUGGGAACUGCGUCUGAUACUGGAUGGCUUGAAUCCGGGAGAGGGAUGCAGAAUUCCAGGUGUAGCGGUGAAAUGCGUAGAUAUCUGGAGGAAUACCGGUGGCGAAGGCGGCAUCCUGGACCGAGAUUGACGCUGAUGAGCGAAAGCUAGGGAGCAAACGGG